rnacentral:rRNA from 1 species
UGGGGAAUUUUCUGCAAUGGGCGAAAGCCUGACAGAGCAAUACCGCGUGAGGGAUGACAGCCUGUGGGUUGUAAACCUCUUUUUUCAAGGACGAAGAUCUGACUUUACUUGAAGAAUAAGCAUCGGCUAACUCCGUGCCAGCAGCCGCGGUAAGACGGAGGAUGCAAGUGUUAUCCGGAUUCACUGGGCGUAAAGCGUCUGCAGGUUGUUUAGCAAGUCGAUUGUUAAAGCUUGGGGCUUAACCCCAGAACAGCAAUGGAAACUGCUAGACUUGAGUAUGGUAGAGGUAAAAGGAAUUUCCAGUGGAGUGGUGAAAUGCGUAGAUAUUGGAAAGAACACCGAAGGCGAAG